UACGUAGGGGGCAAGCGUUGUCCGGAAUCAUUGGGCGUAAAGAGCGUGUAGGCGGCCCGAUAAGUCCGCUGUGAAAGUCCAGGGCUCAACCCUGGGAUGCCGGUGGAUACUGUCGGGCUAGAGUCCGGAAGAGGAGAGUGGAAUUCCCGGUGUAGCGGUGAAAUGCGCAGAUAUCGGGAAGAACACCCGUGGCUAAGGCGGCUCUCUAGUACGGUACUGACGCUGAGACGCGAAAAGCGUGGGGGAGCGAAACAGG
rnacentral:rRNA from 1 species